rnacentral:rRNA from 1 species
GACGUAGGGCGCGAGCGUUGUCCGGAUUUAUUGGGCGUAAAGAGCUCGUAGGCGGCUUGUCGCGUCAACUGUGAAAACCCGUGGCUCAACCAUGUGGUCUGCAGUCGAUACGGGCAGGCUAGAAUUCGGUAGGGGAGGACUGGAAUUCCUGGUGUAGCGGUGAAAUGCGCAGAUAUCAGGAGGAACACCGGUGGCGAAGGCGGGUCUCUGGGCAGUAACUGACACUGAGGAGCGAAAGCGUGGGGAGCGAACAGG